GCUGUAGUAGGUCCCAAGGGUUGGGCUGUUCGCCCAUUAAAGUGGUACGCGAGCUGGGUUCAGAACGUCGUGAGACAGUUCGGUCCCUAUCCGUCGCAGGCGUAGGAAAUUUGAGAAGACCUGUCCUUAGUACGAGAGGACCGGGAUGGACGUACCUCUGGUGUACCAGUUGUUCUGCCAAGGGCAUGGCUGGGUAGCUAUGUACGGAAUGGAUAAGCGCUGAAAGCAUCUAAGCGCGAAGCCAACUUUAAGAUAAGAUUUCCCACCGCAAGGGUAAGACCCCAGAAAGACUAUCUGGUUGAUAGGUCGAAGGUGUAAGUGCAGCAAUGUAUUUAGCUUAUCGAUACUAAUAGGUCGAGGACUUGACCAAU
rnacentral:rRNA from 1 species